rnacentral:rRNA from 1 species
AUGGACCCGUCCGACGUCGAGAUGGAGCCCGCGGAGCAUCCGUCCCAGCCCCAGCCCCAGCAGCCUCCGCCGCCGCCGCAGCCCGCGGCGGCCGGAGAUGGGUGGAGCAUGCUGUCCCGCGCCCGCGGCCUGCUCCAGGAGGGCCAGCCGUCCCUCGCGCUGCAGGCGUUACUCUUGGCCAUAAGAUCUCAAGGUGGUGAACAGGCUCUCAUCCAGACUCUGAACCGUGCACGUGACCUCUACAGGCAGAGAUCGCAGCCUGCUCCCAACAUUGAUGAGCUCGCUUCUUUGCUCGCACAGUGUGCUAUAGCAGAGGCUCAGACAUCAAACCCUAAUCCACUAGCACCUGGUUCUGACCCUGUCACGACGUUGAACUCUGAUGAGGCCUGCAUACUUGCUGAGUGUGGAAGGAAGCAGAUUAUCCUGGAUGCCUUCAACGAUGGCAGCAGCUUCAUUUGCUUGAAAUGUGGCGGGCUCUUCAGCACGUCACGCAAAGAUGAGCACCUGGCCUACUGGUGCGGUGCCGCAUGA